rnacentral:rRNA from 1 species
GUAGGUGGUAAGCGUUGUCCGGAAUUAUUGGGGCGUAAAGCGCGCGCAGGUUGGUUCUUUAAGUCUGAUGUGAAAGCCCCCGGGCUCAACCGGGGAGGGUCAUUGGAAACUGGGGAACUUGAGUGCAGGAGAGGAAAGUGGAAUUCCACGUGUAGCGGUGAAAUGCGUAGAUAUGUGGAGGAACACCAGUGGCGAAGGCGACUUUCUGGCCUGUAACUGACACUGAGGCGCGAAAGCGUGGGGAGCAAACAGGAUUAGAUACCCUGGUAGUCCACGCCGUAAACGAUGAGUGCUAAGUGUUGGGGGGUUUCCGCCCCUCAGUGCUGCAGCUAACGCAUUAAGCACUCCGCCUGGGGAGUACGGUCGCAAAGACUG